rnacentral:rRNA from 1 species
CUACGGGACGCUGCAGUGGGGAAUUUUGCGCAAUGGGCGAAAGCCUGACGCAGCAAUACCGCGUGAGUGAAGAAGGCCUUUGGGUCGUAAAGCUCUUUUCUGAAGGAAGAUAGUGACGGUACUUCAGGAAUAAGCACCGGCUAACUCCGUGCCAGCAGCCGCGGUAAUACGGAGGGUGCAAGCGUUGUUCGGAUUUACUGGGCGUAAAGGGCGCGUAGGCGGCAUAGCAAGUUAAGGGUGAAAUCCCGGGGCUUAACUCCGGAACUGCUCUUAAAACUGCUAAGCUAGAGAUAGUCAGAGGCGGGUGGAAUUCCUAGUGUAGAGGUGAAAUUCGUAGAUAUUAGGAGGAACACCGGUGGCGAAGGCGGCCCGCUGGGGCUUAUCUGACGCUAAGGCGCGAAAGCGUGGGGAGCAAACGGGAUUAGAUACCCGAGUAGUC